rnacentral:rRNA from 1 species
UACGGAGGGUGCAAACGUUGCUCGGAAUCAUUGGGCGUAAAGCGCACGUAGGCGGCCUGAUAAGUCGGGUGUGAAAGCCCUGGGCUCAACCCAGGAAGUGCACUCGAAACUGUCAGGCUUGAAUAUGGAAGAGGGUCGCGGAAUUCCCGGUGUAGAGGUGAAAUUCGUAGAUAUUCGGAAGAACACCAGUGGCGAAGGCGACUUACUGGACACAUAUUGACGCUGAGGUGCGAAAGCGUGGGGAGCAAACAGG